CAGUCCGCCAUAUUGUUAGAUUGUUACACUCCGCCAUAUUGUUUCCACUUAAUCGGGCAGCCUUACUUUGUUCCAAUUCUCAGGGAACCCCCAUUUUAUCAAUAUUAUAAAUAUCCACUAAGGCGAGACUUUUUUUAUUUAUUGGUUUACGGAUUUGACUUUAAAAAUAAGAGGUCGGUAGGUCGGAAAUUUUUUUUAAUAAAAUUUUUAACGUCAAUUUCAAAAAAAUGCAAAAAAACCGUGGCUAAUCUCCAUAUUGAUUGUCACAACGAUAACAUGAGCCAGCAGUACCUAGACUCAAAGUUCACUUGAAGUGUUCUUCAUGUCAGAACCCCAAAUUAAUUAAAAUUGUAAAAUUUUUUGACAUCCAAAUUUUUAUUUUAUUUUUUACUUUCUGAAUAUUUACGGUUGGCGGAUCCGUAAACCAAUGAAUAAAAAAAGUCUCGCCUAACGUUACGACACCAUCCUUCUCUAGUAAUUUAAAACAAGUAAACAUAUAUACCAAUUUAUCCAGAUAUUUGCCAAGAUAUCCUUCAUAUUGCAUAUUUGCCCAAGAUAUUCCUCAUGGUAUUUGCACAAUUGCCCAAGAAAAUUCACAUUUGCCCAAGAUAUCCCUCAUGGUAUUUGCACAUUUGCCCAAGAUAUUCCUCAUGGUAUUUGCACAUUUGCCCAAGAUAUCCACAAAGAAAAUGCACAUUUGCCCAAGAUAUCCACCAUAACUCUUCAACGAUGUGGUAAGGUUGGGGUAAUUUCACAUUUGGUGUUGAAAAAAGGUUUGGGGUCCGAUCCUGAGGGGUCUAGUGCGUGAAUUUCACGCUUGAUGCCUUAUCUUAAGCUAGUCGAGUUUAUCUCACUCGCUCAUGUUGGUCUUAAACUAAAACCUAAGAGACCUAAUGCAC
rnacentral:lncRNA from 1 species